AGAGCAGGCCGAGACGACCGCGGGCAUCAUACGGGUAACACCCGAUGCGUGAGGAAAGUCCGGGCUCCACAGGACAAGGGUGCCGGAUAACGUCCGGUGAAGGUAACUUUAAGGAAAGUGCAACAGAAAAGAAAACCGCCCUUGUGUUCUCCGGAACACGAAGGUAAGGAUGAAAAGGCGAGGUAAGAGCUCACCGGCGGUAUGGAGACAUACCGGCCUUGUAAACCCCACCCGGAGCAAUGUCGUGGAAUGGUAUCAACCGCUGUCCGCGGGCCAUGAGGAGACAGCUGGAAUGUUGUGGCAACACAACAUCUGGAUAGAUGGUCGUCAUAUACAGAACCCGGCUUACCGACCUGCUUUACGA
rnacentral:RNase_P_RNA from 1 species